UUUUGAGACUAGUUUGAGAUGGCGUAUACAACAAUAGAGGGCUCGCAGUUGACGUACGACGCCUCCUGGCUGCCAUGUUGGAAGACCACCGCCUUUAUUCUUCUGACAACAACAACCGAGUGGCUUCUCCAAACUAAAUGAUAACAGUGCCUAAAACGAGUUGAUUCAUUACUACGAUAAUUUUCUGUAGAGUAUUUGGCUGCUCUAAUAAGGCAGGAAAGACGACGGGAAAAAAACAUGUUUAAAGAUUCCCCGCAAUCAUGAAACACCAUUGGUGACACCAGUGAGAUAAGACUCAAAAACUGUCAGAAAAGCGAAGAAACCGUUUUGCUUGUAAAGGCCUGAUCACAGACAGCUGUCAGUAACUGGUCUGCUACGAUAAUUUCAUCACUGGCUCCCCAGUUUACCUCUUAAGACACCCAUGCUGACUGGAUACCCACUGUGAAGAUGAGCAAUGCUGCAGAAGCAUCCGUUUCUACUUCUACUGCUUUGUCCUUUUCCAGAUAUGAAAGGAGACUUCUCUCAAUUAUACAAGAUGGUUGUUAAAUGAUAUGCUUUGGUCAAUCUGAAUGGUUCUGUUGUGCCAUUUGAGUAGAGCACCUUCACUUUGUCAAGACAAAACUGUAUGAAUAUGUAAAAUGUAAAAUACUGUUUAUGAUAUUGUAAACAUACUGUACUUUAAUAAUAGGCUACAUUGUUGUAUGGGUGAAAUUAAAAUAGUAA